AAUACCAGAACAUAACUGCAUUUCCAUAAAAAAUAAAAUAGCUUGAACAGGAGUGACUGCUACUCAGAAGCUUGCGUUACAUAUCAGGGUGUUGAGAUCUACAUGCUUUUUUCCUAGAAAGCCGUAAAACCAGUACUCCUCCCAUCAAUGUGGCAAUGAUUGCAUGAAUGAAUGUCUAGUACCCAGUGUGAUAUAAGGAGAGUGUGGUUCUGCUGCAUGACUGAUCCUUUCAGUUGAACACAACUCCAAAAAGGUCCAAAUGAGGAGUGAAAUGAGAAUCUUGGUGAAAAGCAUAAAUGUAUCCAAAAUAAAACAGAAAAAUCGGCGAAAAGACUCAGUGCUCCAGGAAUUGGGAACAUAGCCCUACUCAAAACAACCUGCCAGAGAUGUCCACCUGAAGACUUUUCUUUCUUAUCCAGAUCAAAACGCUGACCAGGGUCCAAGUCAGGUAACCAGAAAGGACCCCCAUUAGAGUCCUGCUCAACCUACAGUCUUGCAUAUCUGCAAAAGAGCUCUCAACAGCAAUUCCUGCACAAUUUCUAUGAUUAACUUUUAAAGCUUGAAUAAAUGAAUUUGUAUUUUA